UCCGGAGUAGCUCAAUGGCAGAGCGGGCGGCUGUUAACCGCUAGGUUGUAGGUUCGAGUCCUACCUCCGGAGCCU
rnacentral:tRNA from 1 species